CAUAACAUUAAAGAGGGUGUAUAUUGUUUUGCACAUGUCGGUCCGUCGAUCGGUCUGUCCGUCCACCUUAUCCUAUAACACCUGUUAUAUUAUGUUUUGUUAUUACAUAACAGCAUAACAAUGAGCAUACUUUUAUUUCAGAACCGGUCGCCUAGAAAGAGAAAGCAGCCGGCGUCACCCGAGCACCAGAACCCGGAGACCCGACAGCCUAAGGCUAACCCAGUGAGUACCCAGUCAUAUGAGGUAUUCAAUAUUGCAGUGCGACAGUACCUCGACAUGCCAUCGACCUCUCGUACUGUCAUCCAGUACUCUUGACGACAUUAAUGUCGUACGCCCUAACAUGCUGACGGUACCAGAGCCGCCGGUCGCGGAAGGACCCGAGCCACAACCCGGGACGACAUCACGGGAAUGUAUAUCAGACACAGGAUCGUGGUAUGCUUUGCCGACGGGGGCGCAGUGGACGGAGUGGGCGAAGGCAGAGGGGAUUCGUCCGAACCCUAAGGGAGUGUACAUCUGGAGCGAGACCGAAGAGGACGACGUGUUUGAGGACGAACCUGCAUUAAGGUUGUCGACCUCCGAGUCAUCCAGAUCGUCCAGGGUAACACACGUGUCCUCUUCGUCCAGGUCGUCUUCACCCGCGUCCUCUUCGGGUAGCUCUGCCACGUCGGGCUCAUCGGGGGACUAAUAUCCCUUUGAAUCGUCGGACUCUGAUGUGCCACAGCCGGUCCCUGUGGUGGCUGUCCCUCAGUCAUCGUCGGAGGACUCUGAAGUGGAGCAGCCGGUCCCUUUGGUGGCUGUCCAACCACCAAGACGGAGGAGGGAAAGAGUCACGAAGGCGGAGGAGCUCGCCAUCAACAUGACAUUUGCUGACGAAAUUGUCGCGUCCGCCCUUUCGGGGAAAACAAUUGCUAUCGAGGUCGUCCGGGAAGAGUACUGCUUUGCUUCAAUGGGGCGGUUGAGUGUUGAACAGAGAAAGCCCUUGCACACUCCCAGGCAGUGCCCCAUCUGCCUGUUGAAGGGUAUCACGACAUUUGCGCGGCCCGGUGACCAUGUGAAGAGACAACAUGGUGUCUCGAAGGAGGAUGCUCGGACCAUGAUGUCCGAGCAGAGGGCCUUGGAAGGAAGGAACAGCAAAGGGGAACGACACUACUAUAGAUGUGGGCUGUGCAAGAAGUGCAUUAUAUUCUCGUCUUUCGAUGAACUUAACAAGUUUGUAUUCGCCAUUCACGGUGACGGAGCCAACAUUAACAGUGAGAACCGAACCAGUGAAAAGGAA